GAGCUGUGAUGAUAUUAGGCUUUGGCGAUGGUUGGGUCCAUCGCAUUCUACUGAUCUUAUCGGAUGAGAUUUGCCGUACCCUGAGCUC
rfam:Brassica rapa chromosome A5, whole genome shotgun sequence.